rnacentral:misc_RNA from 1 species
GAUGAAGGACGUAGCGAAAUGCGAUAAGUAAUGUGAAUUGCAGAAUUCAGUGAAUCAUCGAAUCUUUGAACGCACAUUGCGCCCGGCAGUACUCUGCCGGGCAUGCCUGUUCGAGCGUCAUUUCAACCCUCAAGCCCUGCUUGGUGUUGGGGUCCCACGGCCGCCGUGGGCCCUGAAAGGAAGUGGCGGGCUCGCUACAACUCCGAGCGUAGUAAUUCAUUAUCUCGCUUAGGGCGUUGGGCGGCGCUCCUGCCGUUAAAGAACCAUCUUUAACUCAAGGUUGACCCCGGAUCAGGUAGGAAUACCCGCUGAACUUAAGCAUAUCAAUAAGCGGAGGA